GUCCACACCGUAAACGUUGGGCGCUAGGUGUGGGAUCCAUUCCACGGGUUCCGUGCCGUAGCUAACGCAUUAAGCGCCCCGCCUGGGGAGUACGGCCGCAAGGCUAAAACUCAAAGGAAUUGACGGGGGCCCGCACAAGCGGCGGAGCAUGCGGAUUAAUUCGAUGCAACGCGAAGAACCUUACCUGGGUUUGACAUACAGGAGUUAUCCGGCAGAGAUGUCGGUGCCGUAAGGAUUCUGUACAGGUGGUGCAUGGCUGUCGU
rnacentral:rRNA from 1 species